rnacentral:misc_RNA from 1 species
CUUUAGCCCAGAUGGUAAUGAAAAGCCCACAGAUAAAAAAUUACUUUUUCUUGUCAUAAAAGAGCGACCACAGGAAGCUCCUUUAAUGACUUAGAAAAAUAUUUUUUUAGCGAGGACUUGUAAUGUACAGCUGGAAUUGCU